rnacentral:tRNA from 1 species
GUGUAGUAUUAUAAUGGGUAAGGAGCUGGUCUUGUAACCAAAAGGUCGCAGGUUCAAUUCCUGGGUUGGACA